rnacentral:tRNA from 1 species
GGCCGGUUAGCUCAGUGGGCUGAGCACGGUGCUGACAACAAUGACAACACUGAGGUCGUGGGUUCGAUUCCCGCUCGGUCC